GGAGAGAAACAAGUAAACAACCCUUUUUUCCAUAAAACUCCAUCUGGAAGUGCACGACAGCCACUACAGUUGACUAACGAUGUAACCAAGAUGAUGCAAAAGCAUCAGUUGGAAACGCCACAGUUCCAUCAGACCCGGUUUUCCGUUUUACUGAAUGUACCGAGGAGCAUAGAGAAGUGUGUGACAUAACUAAUACAUGCCUUCCUUAUUCCUCUGCUUCUCCCUUUCCCUUUCUUAACAGUUUAUUUUCACGUUGUUGCUGGAAUCCAUCUAAGAGAUGUCUCCUUUUUAAUUCCUCAUUCUUGGCUGCUUGCUAUGUUGGAUGAUCAGAUGUCAUUUCCAUCCCUAAGACAAACAAGAACUACAGGCUGCUUCCGUCUUCACCCAAUCAGGGAUGAGGAUGCCAAGUUCAAGCUCUGCAACGGGAGGUCUGUUCAGUUUGACGUCGGCAACGUGGUCAUGGUGACCGGCGGGAGGAACAUCGGGCAUGUAGGAGUGAUCAAGAACUGGGAGAAGCACAAGGGCAUCUUCGAGGUCAUCGACGUGCUACUUGGAGCUUUUUGCAUGCUAUGUCUAGUUUUCUCCUAUUUGUUGUACAGGUAAAGAUAGAAUGGAAUUCAAAUUUGGUGGUCGCAAAAGUGUGGAGACUUGAAUUCAUAUAAAGUUAGGCUUAACAUUAGUGCAAACAGUUGUAUUUUAGUUUAGAUUUAGAGUACACUUAUGUAUGCCUUGUUUGACAAUGCUUAUU